rnacentral:rRNA from 1 species
AGGUGCGAGCGUUAAUCGGAAUUACUGGGCGUAAAGCGCAUGCAGGCGGCCCGUUAAGUCAGAUGUGAAAGCCCGGGGCUUAACCUCGGAAUUGCAUUUGAAACUGGCAGGCUAGAGUCUUGUAGAGGGGGUAGAAUUUCAGGUGUAGCGGUGAAAUGCGUAGAGAUCUGAAGGAAUACCAGUGGCGAAGGCGGCCCCCUGGACAAAGACUGACGCUCAGAUGCGAAAGCGUGGGGAGCAAACAGGAUUAGAUACCCUGGUAG